GAUGAACGCUGGCGGCGUGCCUAAUACAUGCAAGUCGAGCGAACUGAUUAGAAGCUUGCUUCUAUGACGUUAGCGGCGGACGGGUGAGUAACACGUGGGCAACCUGCCUGUAAGACUGGGAUAACUUCGGGAAACCGAAGCUAAUACCGGAUAGGAUCUUCUCCUUCAUGGGAGAUGAUUGAAAGAUGGUUUCGGCUAUCACUUACAGAUGGGCCCGCGGUGCAUUAGCUAGUUGGUGAGGUAACGGCUCACCAAGGCAACGAUGCAUAGCCGACCUGAGAGGGUGAUCGGCCACACUGGGACUGAGACACGGCCCAGACCCCUACGGGAGGCAGCAGUAGGGAAUCUUCCGCAAUGGACGAAAGUCUGACGGAGCAACGCCGCGUGAGUGAUGAAGGCUUUCGGGUCGUAAAACUCUGUUGUUAGGGAAGAACAAGUAUGAGAGUAACUGCUCGUACCUUGACGGUACCUAACCAGAAAGCCACGGCUAACUACGUGCCAGCAGCCGCGGUAAUAC
rnacentral:rRNA from 1 species